rnacentral:tRNA from 1 species
GGGCGCUUAGCUCAGCCGGCUAGAGCACCUCGUUUACACCGAGGGGGUCGGGGGUUCAAGUCCCUCAGCGCCCA